UCCCAUAUAUAUAUUUUAAAAAAUGUUAAAAGACAUUCGAUUUGAUAUUUUACGAACUUCCAUUAUGGGCAGUCCCGCGGAUCACGGACCCAAUAUUUUCAUAUGUUUCUGCAGCGGAGCGGUGGAGUAACAGGAGCGGAUUGUUAGAUCAUUACAAUUUGUUUUGUUAGAUUAUUAUUAUGGGAAAAACGCCAUUGAAAGUGAUGCUUUUCGUCACCUGUUCCACUGCUUGAAUUCCGGGUUCAAUUCAAUCUCACUUAAACAGCGUUUCUCCCAGUCAACCCGCAGCUUUUCCCAGAUUUGACGUUUUCUCCCCGUCUUCUUCGACAAAUUCCCUUCACUUCCAUCCAAAUCCCACACCAUGAAGUGGGUAUCAGAAUCAAGCCCCUAUCCUACGCUGGCUUGCUCAAUCGCUCGCCCAUUUCAAAAUGGAAAGCCUAAAAGUGAUGUUAGCCCUCACUUGCAUGAAACUGUAAAGCAAUCAAUUGGAAUGGUAAACUGCUUAAAAUGCUUAGCUUGGACACAUCCUUUGAGUGAGCCAGAAAAACUUGCAGCCUUAUGAUUUCAGGAGGGGAACAGAUUGGACUUGUGCUACAGAAUCAUCUCUUUGAGUUGUCACUAUUCAUUAAAGCUUUGAUUAAGUUGAAAGGAAAUUUUAAUCUUGCGACAAAAGCUGAUGAUUAUAGGCCGUUUCAAGUUGUUCUUUUAAAAGACUUUUUCAGUAAUCUUCACGUGCCCCUCUGGGUUUCGAGGAGAGAGAUGCCAUGCCUCAAAUGGCUAUGAUUAGAUUCAAAUAAAGGAAUGGCCCUACUACUAA